AUUGAACGCUGGCGGCAGGCCUAACACAUGCAAGUCGAGCGGCAGCGGAAAGUAGCUUGCUACUUUGCCGGCGAGCGGCGGACGGGUGAGUAAUGUCUGGGAAACUGCCUGAUGGAGGGGGAUAACUACUGGAAACGGUAGCUAAUACCGCAUAACGUCGCAAGACCAAAGAGGGGGACCUUCGGGCCUCUUGCCAUCAGAUGUGGCGAGAUGGGAUUAGCUAGUAGGUGGGGUAACGGCUCACCUAGGCGACGAUCCCUAGCUGGUCUGAGAGGAUGACCAGCCACACUGGAACUGAGACACGGUCCAGACUCCUACGGGAGGCAGCAGUGGGGAAUAUUGCACAAUGGGCGAAAGCCUGAUGCAGCCAUGCCGCGUGUAUGAAGAAGGCCUUCGGGUUGUAAAGUACUUUCAGCGGGGAGGAAGGCGUUGAGGUUAAUAACCUCAGCGAUUGACGUUACCCGCAGAAGAAGCACCGGCUAACUCCGUGCCAGCCGCCGCAGUAA
rnacentral:rRNA from 1 species